UUAUGAGAGUUUGAUCCUGGCUCAGGACGAACGCUGGCGGCGUGCCUAAUACAUGCAAGUCGAACGCUUUUGUUUUCACCGGAGCUUGCUCCACCGAAAACAAAAGAGUGGCG
rnacentral:rRNA from 1 species